UCCUACGGGAGGCAGCAGUAGGGAAUCUUCCACAAUGGGCGAAAGCCUGAUGGAGCAACGCCGCGUGAGUGAAGAAGGUUUUCGGAUCGUAAAACUCUGUUGUAAGGGAAGAACAAGUACAGUAGUAACUGGCUGUACCUUGACGGUACCUAUAGAAGUAUUACUGCC
rnacentral:rRNA from 1 species